rnacentral:rRNA from 1 species
GACGAACGCUGGCGGCGUGCUUAACACAUGCAGGUCGAACGGUAAGGCCCUUCGGGGUACACGAGUGGCGAACGGGUGAGUAACACGUGGGUGAUCUGCCCUGCACUUCGGGAUAAGCCUGGGAAACUGGGUCUAAUACCGGAUAGGACCACUGCCUGCAUGGGUGGUGGUGGAAAGCUCUUGCGGUGUGGGAUGGGCCCGCGGCCUAUCAGCUUGUUGGUGGGGUGAUGGCCUACCAAGGCGACGACGGGUAGCCGGCCUGAGAGGGUGACCGGCCACACUGGGACUGGGAUACGGCCCAGACUCCUACGGGAGGCAGCAGUGGGGAAUAUUGCACAAUGGGCGCAAGCCUGAUGCAGCGACGCCGCGUGAGGGAUGACGGCCUUCGGGUUGUAAACCUCUUUCAGCACAGACGAAGCGCAAGUGACGGUAUGUGCAGAAGAAGGACCGGCCAACUACGUGCCAGCCGCCGCGGUAA